GGCCGACGGAUGCUAGAGGUAGGAAUCGAGAAACCGCGGAAAUUUGACGCAUCGACGUGUACGCUCAGAAGUGCGACGGGGACGCUCGGAAGGUCGCCGAUUUUCUACGCGUGGAGUAUGCGUGAGAGAGAAAAAGAAAGAGAGAGAGAGAGAGAGAGAGAGAGAGAGAGAGAGAGAGAACGCGUCUCUCGAGACAAAAUGGCGAUCGAAAGCGCGACGGUGCUCUUAGCAGAUAGGAAGCUCCCCAAUGUCGCAGGUUCUACCUACGCAUACACGUUCGCGCUUGCGUGUAUAUUUUUAAGCGUUGUACGUAUACGACUUUUCAGGAAUGUAUAUAAGUACACAGACAUGUAUUGAGGCAUAGUGAAAGCAGCUGCACGUUGUCCAAUACUCUCGUGAAUGCGCGUUGCCGACCUUGCUCGUCGAUCUUCUCUCUAUACUUCCCUUUGUGUUUCUCGAAAAAUUCUAUUUUGAAAACAUCGAAAAAAAGAAAGCAAGAAACGAAAACAAAACAAUAAUAAUAAUAAUAAUAAUAAUAAUAAUAAUAAAAAUAAGUAUUCGAACGAAGAGAGGCAAAUUCGGACUUACGGUGCAAAACGCAAUCCCAUCCUCUUGCGUAAUAUCACCAUAUAUUUUUACAUAACGCGUUAUUGAAACGUAGACUUAAUUUUUUCGCACGUAUCAUGUGUGAAUAUUUUGAUAACAUGAAAUAAAAAAGAAAAACGAAAAAGGAAAAAGAAAAAGGAAAAAAGAAAAAAAAAAGAAAGAGAGAAAACAAGAAAGGAAUUCAAAUUUUUGCCUAACUUAUCUAAAUAUUAUUUUAGAAUUAAGAAAUUCGAAUUCUUUUCACGUGAUCGAAUCUUCACCGAUUUCCAAACUCUUAGACUCAUAAACAUACGUAAAUAUAAUACAAAAAAAGGAAGAUGUUUAUAUUGCACUUGGAAUAUGCAUUAACGCCUGUUCGAAGAAAAGAAAAGAAAAGAAAGGAAAAGAAAAGAAAAGAAAAGAAAAGAGAAAAGAAGAAAAGAGAAAAAGAGAUAAAUAGAUAGAUAGAUAAAGAGAAAGAAAGAGAGAAUGAGAGGUGGGGGAGAGAGGAAAAGCUAGCGUGCAACAGGUUGGUAUGACGCCUUCCAAGAGUGUGUAGGGAAAGGGCAGAGGAGGAGUGAGAAAGCGAAUGGUUGAAUGAGUGAGGGUAACAGAAGGACGGAGCUGAAGCUAAAGUUAAAGCUCAAUUUAAAGAGAGAAAGAGAAAGAGAGAGAUGAAUAUUAUAUAUAUAUAUAUAUAUAUAUAUAUAUAUAUAUAU